AUACGGAGGAUGCGAGCGUUAUCCGGAUUUAUUGGGUUUAAAGGGUGCGUAGGCUGUGCGUUAAGUCAGGGGUGAAAUGCCGUCGCUCAACGACGGAGCUGCCCUUGAUACUGGCGUGCUGGAGUACGGAUGCCGUUGGAGGAAUGAGUGGUGUAGCGGUGAAAUGCUUAGAUAUCACUCAGAACACCGAUUGCGAAGGCAUCGAACGAAUCCGUCACUGACGCUGAGGCACGAAAGCGUGGGGAUAGAACAGGAUUAGAUACCCUGGUAUUCCACGCCGUAAACGAUGAUGACUAACCGUCGGCGAUAGACAGCCGGUGGCCAAGCGAAAGCGAUAAGUCAUCCACCUGGGGAGUACGUCGGCAACGAUGAAACUCAAAUGAAUUGACGGGG
rnacentral:rRNA from 1 species